rnacentral:rRNA from 1 species
AAGACGCGAUAACCAGCCCACCACGGCACGUUGUGAGGUCACCCACAGGCUCGACUUUCGAUUGUGGGCCUUGACAAAGAGCAGCUGGAUGCGUGUUGCAAGAAUUCCUGACCUCUGUCUUGAAACACAGAAGAGGAUUGCGGAAGGACACGCGCUCAUACGUCAGGUCCGGGCGAUGACUGAGUUCUGGUAUGAUCCUCUGCGACGAGUCGCUUUCUGGCCUAGUUUCUGGUUUGCCCAGUGCUCCCGCAUGUGCCGCGGGAGCACACGUUGGCGGUCUGGACGUUGAGUCCUCUCAGCCGGGCACUAGAACGAGUGGUGUAAAGUCCAAGCCCAUCGGUCACGUCUCGAAACACGGGCCAAGGAGUAUAGCAUGUGUGCAAGUCUAAGAGUCUCCCAAAACUCGAAGGCGAAGUGAAAGCAAGUAUGCGGCGGGUGAUCUACGGAGAUCCCGUCAGCUAGAGGUGUCUCUGACACCUCCGGCUUUGGCAGAGUUGAUCCUGCAGCGGUACAGCACUCGUACGCUCAGGCGCAAACUCCAGGCUCACGUUUGUGUGGUUUUCGGACUGCACUGUGAGCACUGUGGAGCAUGCAUGCUAUGACCCGAAAGAUAGUGAACUAUGCCUGGCGAGGGCGAAGCCCCAGGAAACUGGGGUGGAGGCCCGUAGCCGUUGUGACGUGCAAAUCC